ensembl:lncRNA
CGCGAAGCGUCCCCUCGUUCGCCAGCCAUCCCGCCGCGCACGCGCCAUUUCCGCCGCUAGGCGACGGGAGUCCUCGCGAGACGCGCGCCUACGACGCCAUCCUGUCUGCCUCAGCUGCGUAGCUUGUUAGUCGGCCGUCGGUUAAGCGCUUCCUUGUUCUUUGUGGGGAGUUCCGCGCAGCCGUUUGGGGCCGAUCGCCUGGGGAAGUGGGUGAGGUGUUGCCGGGGCGAGGGCGACUCUCGGUAGGGCAAGCCCCGAGCGGAGGGAAGACGGAAGACGGCGAAGCGAGUCCCCAGAGCGUGACAAAAGAAGCGUGUGCGCCUCCGCCAUUGAUACCCCCUCCUACGCCGAGGACCACCUCUCCGGCGCUACUCCUUCCCGGAGGGCUCGUGCGCCUGCGCGCUGAGGGUUCGGCGUUAGCGGAAGGUUCAAGACCCCGUUGGAAGAGUUGGUUUCUCUUGACAACCCUGAAGCAUCGCAGCUCCUCGGAAGUAAGGUGGCUUGGAGUCCGUUGGGACGGACGAGAUGGAAACGUGCCGUUGAGGUGGCAGGGCUUGGUCAGAAAAUACCGUAGCGCCGAAUCUAAAACGGGAAAAGGGACCGUUGAGGCCUCAGUUAGGACUAACGGCGGUGAUUCGGGCCUUCCAAGCAAUUGAGAUUUAAGGUUCAAGAGCGCAAGGUCAUGGUGACCAGCGGCCCGGGGGGGGGGGGGGCUUGCCUGCUUUGUGUCUUGUUAAUCGGAUACAAGGCCCUGCUAUUGCUUUGUGAAUGGCCAUUCAACGAGGGCGUUUGGCUCUGCUCAAUCCACUUUUGAGACCAGGAAAAGAAGGAAAAGAGUAGUAACUCCCACCAAGGGCAUAGAUAGCUGCUGGGGUUGAAUGUUGAAUGGAUUUCAGAAAUGGCAGGAGUAAAGUUAUACUUAGCUGCUGGGUUCGUUCCAGUAAAUCAGGAAAAGGAACUUGAAUUUGUCUCUCUCCCUUUAAUCACAUUGGUGAUGUAAGUGAAGAGACACUUCCUUGAUUUAGGGCAGAGGUCUCCAAACUUGGCAACUUUAAGACUUGUGGACUUCAACUCUCAGAAUUCUCCAGCCAGCAUAGAAUUCUGAGAGUUGAAGUCCACAAGUCGUAAAGUUGCCAAGUUUGGGGACCCGAUUCACAAGUCGUAAAGUUGCCAAGUUUGGGGACCCCUGAUUCAAAAGUCAUANNNNNNNNNNGUAAAGUUGCCAAGUUUGGGGACCCUGAUUCAAAAGUCUUAAAGUUGCCAAGUUUGGGGAGCCCUGAUCACUUAAAAGUGUGGUUGUUUUUAGCAGUCUCUCUGUGUGCAGUACAUGUAAGCUGGAAGCCAGUUCAAGCAGAAAUAUUUGUAUAUUCUACUGAACACAAGAAGGUGAUGCUUAAGCAGGGCUAGGGUGUCCGUAGCCUUGUAUUAUUAACCUGUAGGAAUAUUUACCAAAAGUAUAUGGUGCCUGGCUCUAGGCAGUUUACCCUAUUUCAGAGUUAUUUAUUCAUCAAAUUUAUAUAGCCAUGCAGUAUACAAUAAUUAAAUCAAGAGCAGCAAAUAUAUAACAAACAUUUAAAACGUCAAUGUUAAAAGUUAAGUAAAGUUAUAAUUAUACAAGCCCGAAGCGGAAAGAGAAUGGGUAGAGAUCCACCUCAA